CAGUCGCCACGGUAAUACCGAGGGUGCAAGCGUUAAUCGGAAUUACUGGGCGUAAAGCGCGCGUAGGUGGUUUGUUAAGUUGGAUGUGAAAUCCCCGGGCUCAACCUGGGAACUGCAUCCAAAACUGGCAAGCUAGAGUAUGGUAGAGGGUGGUGGAAUUUCCUGUGUAGCGGUGAAAUGCGUAGAUAUAGGAAGGAACACCAGUGGCGAAGGCGACCACCUGGACUGAUACUGACACUGAGGUGCGAAAGCGUGGGGAGCAAACAGGAUUAGAUACCCCUGUAGUCCCUGUCUCUUAUAA
rnacentral:rRNA from 1 species